rnacentral:rRNA from 1 species
UCCUACGGGAGGCAGCAGUGAGGAAUAUUGGUCAAUGGACGCAAGUCUGAACCAGCCAUGCCGCGUGCAGGAUGACGGCUCUAUGAGUUGUAAACUGCUUUUGUACGAGGGUAAACGCAGAUACGUGUAUCUGUCUGAAAGUAUCGUACGAAUAAGGAUCGGCUAACUCCGUGCCAGCAGCCGCGGUAAUACGGAGGAUUCAAGCGUUAUCCGGAUUUAUUGGGUUUAAAGGGUGCGUAGGCGGUUUGAUAAGUUAGAGGUGAAAUUUCGGGGCUCAACCCUGAACGUGCCUCUAAUACUGUUGAGCUAGAGAGUAGUUGCGGUAGGCGGAAUGUAUGGUGUAGCGGUGAAAUGCUUAGAGAUCAUACAGAACACCGAUUGCGAAGGCAGCUUACCAAACUAUAUCUGACGUUGAGGCACGAAAGCGUGGGGAGCAAACAGGAUUAGAUACCCUGGUAGUCCACGCAGUAAACGAUGAUAACUCGUUGUCGGCGAUACACAGUCGGUGACUAAGCGAAAGCGAUAAGUUAUCCACCUGGGGAGUACGUUCGCAAGAAUGAAACUCAAAGGAAUUGACGGGGGCCCGCACAAGCGGAGGAACAUGUGGUUUAAUUCGAUGAUACGCGAGGAACCUUACCCGGGCUUGAAAGUUAGCGACGAUUCUUGAAAGAGGAUUUCCCUUCGGGGCGCGAAACUAGGUGCUGCAUGGUUGUCGUCAGCUCGUGCCGUGAGGUGUCGGGUUAAGUCCCAUAACGAGCGCAACCCCUACCGUUAGUUGCCAUCAGGUCAAGCUGGGCACUCUGGCGGGACUGCCGGUGUAAGCCGAGAGGAAGGUGGGGAUGACGUCAAAUCAGCACGGCCCUUACGUCCGGGGCUACACA